rnacentral:ncRNA from 1 species
UGAUUUUUUUUUCUCUUCUGAGUUCAAACAAGGAAAAAUUCCAAACUUAGUGUCAUUCUUAAACCCAGAUGCAUUAAUUUCAUUCCACAAUCCAAAUUACAAAAGUGAAAAUUGAAAUAGACAAUCAGCUUGCACCGUAGAGAAGAAAACCAAGGGCUGAAAACAAAGAAACCCCUACUUACAUGCAUGGAAAAAAUUAUUAACGUCCGGUGAUAAGCCGGAGGAAGGUGAGGAUGACGUCAAGUCCUCAUGCCCCUUAUGCCCUGGGCAACACACGUGCUACAAUGGACGGGACAAAGGAUCGCGAUCCCGCGAGGGUGAGCUAACUCCAAAAACUCGUCCUCAGUUCAGAUUGUAGGCUGCAACUCGCCUGCAUGAAGUCAGA